CAUGGUAGAAAAAAUGUGGGAAGGAAUCUUUAAAAGUAAUAAUCUAAAAACUUUUCUCGCUUUAAGGUUUUGUAAGAGUAAAUUCUUGUUGAACCAAGUUAUUCGGGAAAUGAAUGAAAGUGGCACUCCUAAAACAACGGAAGUGACUAUUCACAGAGGAACCAGGUGAUCACUCCAGGGCUCAGCCAAGCUAAACACUCUUUCAGUUUCUAUUCCUCCUUUCUAACUGGUAUAUUCUAUAAAGCUGUUGUUUUCUCUGAUAUGACUUAAAUAUCUUCGCACCGGGGGAGAAUUGCAUAAUUUCCUUGUGAACAGCUCUGAUUUGUAAUGGGUUAAUAGCUCUGUUUGAGUAUACAAAAUGCUGGCAUGAACAGGUUAAUUCAUUUUCACCUUUUAUUGCCAGUCCAGCAGUUUUUCCCUCUGAGUCUGUCCCCGUUGCCCACAUCAACAAUCAAUUUCAUAAAUUGUCGGAGAAUUCUAUUAUAAAAGCCUUACCUGGAAUAAGGUAGAUGGCACUGAAGAUGCCGCUCAGCAGGAAGAGCCCUUUAGUAACACAUCUCCUUACCCUAUGAACUUGGGACAGACGUUCUCUUUCACAAAGUCCUGUCAGCAUUGUGGUCCCGAUCAAUGAUAAUGUUGUGUUCACCCCACCUUUGUUGCCUACUAACAAAUGUUUAAACUCAGAUCAGCUACAAAAAAUAUCUAACUGCAUCUACUGUUUAAGGCUUUCUUCAUCACAGCUCUGUGUUUCUACUGCCAUCUUUUCAUGUCCUGUGCAAAUUCUGUUUGAGGGGAAAGCAGCACUCUUCUCCAAAUGAGUAACAGUUGGAAAUAAGGAAGGAAGUGGACACACAGACACAGUAAGAGGAAACACACAUACAGUGAGAGGAAGCACACAUUUUUGUAUUUCUGGCAUUUGCUAUUAACCAAGGAAUGAAACACAGAAAAACUGAGCUUUUAUUUCUAAUUUGUUUGUUUCAAAGUUUGUCAAUGUUUUUGUAAAUGUUUAAUUUUCUGUUAAUUUCAAUUCAUGUACAGGAACAUAUACUUAUUACACAAUCUGUUCAAUCUUUUUCUUUAGGAGUUUCAAUACAGGAUGAGUACAAGUGAAAAUUUGUGAUACUAGACGCAUUACUUCAGCUUCCUAUUCAUGCAUCAGCAGUAAACAC
rnacentral:lncRNA from 1 species